AUGGAUACGCCGCCGCCACGGAUGGUCCUCGCGCCUGGAUCGUUCACCCAACUACUUCUAAGCUUCUCCUCCAUCCCUUCCCAAGAUCCAAAUCUCUGUUGGACCCAGCAAGAAGAACAAGAGUAUGUGGGAGAGACAGAUUGGACGGAGGGCGGAAACCAUUGCGGGGGCGGCAUCGACACCGAGGAUCAAUUUCAGUCCUCUCCCACCAUACCAGAUCCAACUUCCCCCAUCUAUGAGGCCGACGGCGAGGUGAAUUGUGAGAACGACGAUGCCAAGCUCCGCUCGCCAACGCCAGAGCUCGAUGGAUACACUUGGUCAGGAGAUGAAUGCUUGGAGUCGCCGCUGUCAGAGCAAACCAACAAGCCAAACCUGGUUCAGUCAGACCAAUCUCGUCCUGACCAAUGUCCAUGGAAGAGAAGGAUACGUCGUGGGAAAAUACCAGAUCAGCGGCAGCCUAAAUAG
rnacentral:rRNA from 1 species